rfam:Pteropus alecto contig69504, whole genome shotgun sequence.
GUCUACAGUUAUGCCACCCUGAACAAGCCCAAUCCCGUCUAAUCUUGGAAGCUAAGCAGGGUCGGACCUGGUUAAUACUUGGAUGGGAGACUACCUAGGAAGACCAGGUGCUGCAGGUG